rnacentral:rRNA from 1 species
UUCUCGUUUUUCUCUCAACUCACCUGUGCACCUAAUGUAGGAUGCCUCUCCUCCGGGAGGGGGGACCUAUGUCUUCGUAACAUCUUCGUGUAGAAAGUCUUUGAAUGUUUACUAUCAUCGAGUCGCGACUUCUAGGAGACGCGAUUCUUUGAGAUAAAAGUUAUUACAACUUUCAGCAACGGAUCUCUUGGCUCUCGCAUCGAUGAAGAACGCAGCGAAAAGCGAUAUGUAAUGUGAAUUGCAGAUCUACAGUGAAUCAUCGAAUCUUUGAACGCACCUUGCGCUCCUCGGUGUUCCGAGGAGCAUGCCUGUUUGAGUGUCAGUAAAUUCUCAACCCCUCUUGAUUAGCUUUGAGAGGGUGCUUGGAUAGUGGAGGUUGCCGGAGACUUGGAUUCGUCCGAGACUCGGGCUCUUCUGAAAUGCAUCGGCUUGCGGUCGACUUUCGACUAUGUGCGACAAGGCUUUCGGCGUGAUAAUGAUCGCCGUUCGCUGAAGCGCAUGACUGAAUGUCCCGUGCCUCUAAUAUGUCGACCGCUUAUUAUCUCUCCGGAGAGAACAGGGUCUUCCUUAUUGACUUUUGACCUCAAAUCAGGUAGGACUACCCGCUGAACUUAAGCAUAUCAAUAAGCGGAGGAAAAGAAACUAACAAGGAUUCCCCUAGUAACUGCGAGUGAAGAGGGAAAAGCUCAAAUUUU